AUCGCUUCUCGGCCUUUUGGCUAAGAUCAAGUGUAGAAUCUUAAGGGUUUUGGUACUGUUAUGUUGGUAUACGUAGAUGCAGUUCAGUUUUUUAAAACUCUAUUGUUCUAAUAAUUUAUUGAUUCUCUAGAUUUUCUAUG
rnacentral:snRNA from 1 species